rnacentral:rRNA from 1 species
UACGUAGGGGGCUAGCGUUGUCCGGAUUUAUUGGGCGUAAAGAGCGUGUAGGCGGCCAGGUAGGUCUGCUGUGAAAACUCGAGGCUCAACCUCGAGACGUCGGCGGAAACCAUCUGGCUAGAGUCCGGAAGAGGAGAGUGGAAUUCCUGGUGUAGCGGUGAAAUGCGCAGAUAUCAGGAAGAACACCCGUGGCUAAGGCGGCUCUCUAGUACGGUACUGACGCUGAGACGCGAAAGCGUGGGGGAGCGAACAGG